rnacentral:rRNA from 1 species
AGAGUUUGAUUAUGGCUCAGAACGAACGCUGGCGGCAUGCCUCAUACAUGCAAGUCGAACGAGGUCCUCGGACCUAGUGGCGCACGGGUGAGUAACAUGUGGGAAUCUGCCUGAAGGUUCGGAAUAACUGCGGGAAACUGUAGCUAAUACCGGAUGUGUCUGAAAAGAGAAAGAUUUAUCGCCUUCAGAUGAGCCCGCACUAGAUUAGCUAGUUGGUGAGGUAAUUGCUCCACCAAGGCUACGAUCUAUAGCUGAUUUGAGAGGAUGAUCAGCCACACUGGGACUGAGACACGGCCCAGACUCCUACGGGAGGCAGCAGUCGGGAAUAUUGGACAAUGGGGGAAACCCUGAUCCAGCAAUGCCGCGUGAGUGAAGAAGGCCUUCGGGUUGUAAAGCUCUUUCAUCAAUGAUGAUAAUGACAUUAGUUGAAGAAGAAGCCCCGGCUAACUUCGUGCCAGCAGCCGCGGUAAUACGAAGGGGGCUAGCGUUGUUCGGAAUCACUGGGCGUAAAGCGUAUGUAGGCGGAUCAAAAAGUUAGAUGUGAAAUCCCUGGGCUCAACCCAGGAACUGCAUUUAAAACUAGUGAUCUAGAAUUUGGUAGGGGUUAGUAGAAUUUCCAGUGUAGAGGUGAAAUUCGUAGAUAUUGGAAAGAAUACCAGUGGCGAAGGCGACUAACUGGGCCAUUUUUGACGCUGAGAUACGAAAGCGUGGGUAGCAAACAGGAUUAGAUACCCUGGUAGUCCACGCAGUAAACGAUGAGUGCUAGUCGCUGGGACAAUAGUUUCAGUGUCGAAGCUAACGCAUUAAGCACUCCGCCUGGGAAGUACGGUCGCAAGAUUAAAACUCAAAUAAAUUGACGGGGGCCCGCACAAGCGGUGGAGCAUGUGGUUUAAUUCGAAGCAACGCGAAGAACCUUACCAGACCUUGUCAUGGUAUGUUUGAAUUACAGAAUCGUAAUUCUUCAGUUCGGCUGGCAUACACACAGGUGCUGCAUGGCUGUCGUCAGCUCGUGUCGUGAGAUGUUGGGUUAAGUCCCGCAACGAGCGCAACCCUCAUUUUUAGUUGCCAUCAGGUUAUGCUGGGCACUCUAAAAAAACUGCCGGUGAUAAGCUGGAGGAAGGCGGGGAUGACGUCAAGUCCUCAUGGCCCUUACGGUCUGGGCUACACACGUGCUACAAUGGUGGUGACAGUGGGCAGCAAUACUGCAAAGUAAAGCUAAUCCCAAAAAACCAUCUCAGUUCGGAUUGGACUCUGCAACUCGAGUCCAUGAAGUUGGAAUCGCUAGUAAUCGUAGAUCAGCGUGCUACGGUGAAUACGUUCUCGGGCCUUGUACACACCGCCCGUCACGCCAUGGGAGUUGGUUUUACCUUAAGCCGGUGCGCUAACCGCAAGGAAGCAGCCGUCCACGGUAGGGUCAGCGACUGGGGCGAAGUCGUAACAAGGUAACCGUAGGGGAACCUGCGGUUG